rnacentral:rRNA from 1 species
GACGAACGCUGGCGGCGUGCCUAAUACAUGCAAGUAGGACGCAGUUGCGAACGGGUGAGUAACGCGUAGGUAACUGCCUAUUAGAGGGGGAUAAAUAUUGGAAACGAUAGCUAAUACCGCCUACUAGUAGAUGGACCUGCGGUGUGUUAGAUAGUAGGUAGGGUAAUGGCCUACCUAGGCGACGAUACGUAGCCGACCGGAGGGGGUGAGCGGCCACACUUGGACAGAAACACGGCCCAGACGCCUACGGGAAGCAGCAAUAGGGAAGCUUCGGGAAUGGAGGGUACCCUGAACGUACAACGCCGCGCGAGUGAGAAAGGUUUUCAGAUCGUAAAGCUCUGUUGUUAAGGAAGCGGUACUUGACCAGAAAGGAACGGCUAACGACGUGCCAGCCGCCGCGGUAAUUC